AUGAGCUUGUCCUUCCUCCUCCUCCUCUUCUUCAGCCACCUGAUCCUCAGCGCCUGGGCUCACGGGGAGAAGCGUCUCGCCCCCAAAGGGCAACCCGGACCCGCUGCCACUGAUAGGAACCCUAGAGGCUCCAGCAGCAGACAGAGCAGCAGUAGCGCUAUGUCUUCCUCUUCUGCCUCCUCCUCCGCCGCAGCUUCUCUGGGCAGCCAAGGAAGUGGCUUGGAGCAGAGCAGUUUCCAGUGGAGCCCCUCGGGGCGUCGGACCGGCAGCCUCUACUGCAGAGUGGGCAUCGGUUUCCAUCUGCAGAUCUACCCGGACGGCAAAGUCAAUGGAUCCCACGAAGCCAAUAUGUUAAGCUCCAGAGGAGCGUGGACACCACUGGCGGUCUGA
rnacentral:sRNA from 1 species